UAUAGAUGAUAGGUAGAUCAAUAGAUAGAUAAUUUGUUUGAAGUUUCAUGAUUCCCCACAGAACAAAUAUUUUUUUAUUUUCAUUUUGCCAGGGUGAAAACAGCCUCACAUCUAUUAGAUACUGGCCCAAGUCACAGGUGAUAAAAAUCAGGUUCCAGUCCAUGGAAGUAUUUGUACAGAUGAGGAGACUGAAGCCCAAAGAGGUUGAGUCUUGUCCAAGGUCCAACGGCUACUAA
rnacentral:lncRNA from 13 species